ACCACAAUAUCACAUAAGGUUAUCACGUUUUUUCGAGCUAGCGAACAAUUAUGAGAAUACAUACAAUCUUAAACAAAAACAAAAGGGAAACCAUACUUCACAUAUAAAGAAUACAAAGCUUUUCUUUCCUAACUAAAUAAAUCCACAUAAGGCAUUCAAUAGACAGCUGGAUUACAAUGACCAUAAGUUAACACAUUGACACAAUGCUUUUUUAGGGAAUGGGGGUGCACUUUACGUUGUUUGGUCCGAUUAAUAGAGAUUGUGACAGAAUACGACUAUAUAGGUGAUUAAGAGGAGAUAGUGCCCCAUCGUUUAGGAAAAUCUCCAGAGUGGUUUAUGUUCGAGAAUCUGAAGUUACGGUUAAAAAACUGAAACUUUUAUUGUGAAAUUGACAAAAUGAGAUUAGGGGGGUAGGGCAAUUAAAGUUAAUUUUGGACCAAUUUCAAGAGAUUGUGACGGGCAACGACUAUAUAGGUGUUGUAGAGGAGACAAUGGCGCAUCGUUUAAGAAAAUCUCCAGAGUGGUUUAUGUUCGAAAAUCUGACGUUACGGUUAAAAAACUGAAAAUUUUAUUGUGAAAUUGACAAAAUGAGAUUAGGGGGAUAGGGCACUAAAAGAAAAAUUUGGACCAUUUUAAAGAGAUUGUGACGGGCAACGACUAUAUAGGUGUUGUAGAGGAGACAAUGGCGCAUCGUUUAAGAAAAUCUCCACACUGGUUUAUGUUCGAAAAUCUGAAGUUACGGUUAAAAAACUGAAAUUGACAAAAUGAGAUUAGGGGGAUAGGGCACUAAAAGAAACAUUUGGACCAUUUUAAAGAGAUUGUGACGGGCAACAACUAUAUAGGUGUUGUAGAGGAGACAUUGGCGCAUCGUUUAAGAAAAUCUCCAGAGUGGUUUAUGUUCGAAAAUCUGAAGUUACGGUUAAAAAACUGAAAAUUUUAUUGUGAAAUUGACAAAAUGAGAUUAGGGGGAUAGGGCACUAAAAGAAAAAUUUGGACCAUUUUAAAGAGAUUGUGACGGGCAACGACUAUAAAGGUGUUGUAGAGGAGACAUUGGCGCAUCGUUUAAGAAAAUCUCCAGAGUGGUUUAUGUUCGAAAAUCUGAAGUUACGGUUAAAAAACUGAAAUUGUGAAAUUGACAAAAUGAGAUUAGGGGGGUAGGGCAAUUUAAGUUAAUUUUGGUCCAAUUUCAAAACAUUCUGAGGGGCAACGACUAUAUAGGUGUUGUAGAGGAGACAAUGGCGCAUCGUUUAAGAAAAUCUCCAGAGUGGUUUAUGUUCGAAAAUCUGAAGUUACGGUUAAACAACUGAAAAUUUUAUUGUGAAAUUGACAAAAUGAGAUUAGGGGGAUAGGGCACUAAAAGAAAAAUUUGGACCAUUUUAAAGAGAUUGUGACGGGCAACGACUAUAUAGGUGUAGUAGAGGAGACAUUGGCGCAUCGUUUAAGAAAAUCUCCAGAAUGGUUUAUGUUCGAAAAUCUGAAGUUACGGUUAAAAAACUGAAAAUUUUAUUGUGAAAUUGACAAAAUGAGAUUAGGGGGAUAGGGCACUAAAAGAAAAAUUUGGACCAUUUUAAAGAGAUUCUGACGGGCAACGACUAUAUAGGUGUUGUAGAGGAGACAUUGGCGCAUCGUUUAAGAAAAUCUCCAGAGUGGUUUAUGCUCAAAAAUCUGAAGUUACGGUUAAAAAACUGAAAAUUUUAUUGUGAAAUUGAUAAAAUGAGAUUAGGGGGGUAGGGCACUAAAAGAAAAAUUUGGACCAUUUUAAAGAGAUUGUGACGGGCAACGACUAUAUAGGUGUUGUAGAAGAGACAUUGGCGCAUCGUUUAAGAAAAUCUCCAGAGUGGUUUAUGUUCGAAAAUCUGAAGUUACGGUUAAAAAACUGAAAAUUUUAUUGUGAAAUUGACAAAAUGAGAUUAGGGGGAUAGGGCACUAAAAGAAAAAUUUGGACCAUUUUAAAGAGAUUGUGACGGGCAAUGACUAUAUAGGUGUUGUAGAGGAGACAUUGGCGCAUCGUUUAAGAAAAUCUCCAGAGUGGUUUAUGUUCGAAAAUCUGAAGUUACGGUUAAAAAACUGAAAAUUUAUUGUGAAAUUGACAAAAUGAGAUUAGGGGGAUAGGGCACUAAAAGAAAAAUUUGGACCAUUUUAAAGAGAUUGUGACGGGCAACGACUAUAUAGGUGUUGUAGAGGAGACAUUGGCGCAUCGUUUAAGAAAAUCUCCAGAGUGGUUUAUGUUCGAAAAUCUGAAGUUACGGUUAAAAAACUGAAAAUUUUAUUGUGAAAUUGACAAAAUGAGAUUAGGGGGAUAGGGCACUAAAAGAAAAAUUUGGACCAUUUUAAAGAGAUUCUGACGGGCAACGACUAUAUAGGUGUUGUAGAGGAGACAUUGGCGCAUCGUUUAAGAAAAUCUCCAGAGUGGUUUAUGCUCAAAAAUCUGAAGUUACGGUUAAAAAACUGAAAAUUUUAUUGUGAAAUUGACAAAAUGAGAUUAGGGGGGUAGGGCACUAAAAGAAAAAUUUGGACCAUUUUAAAGAGAUUGUGACGGGCAACGACUAUAUAGGUGUUGUAGAAGAGACAUUGGCGCAUCGUUUAAGAAAAUCUCCAGAGUGGUUUAUGUUCGAAAAUCUGAAGUUACGGUUAAAAAACUGAAAAUUUUAUUGUGAAAUUGACAAAAUGAGAUUAGGGGGAUAGGGCACUAAAAGAAAAAUUUGGACCAUUUUAAAGAGAUUGUGACGGGCAAUGACUAUAUAGGUGUUGUAGAGGAGACAUUGGCGCAUCGUUUAAGAAAAUCUCCAGAGUGGUUUAUGUUCGAAAAUCUGAAGUUACGGUUAAAAAACUGAAAAUUUUAUUGUGAAAUUGACAAAAUGAGAUUAGGGGGAUAGGGCACUAAAAGAAAAAUUUGGACCAUUUUAAAGAGAUUGUGACGGGCAACGACUAUAUAGGUGUUGUAGAGGAGACAAUGGCGCAUCGUUUAAGAAAAUCUCCAGAGUGGUUUAUGUUCGAAAAUCUGAAGUUACGGUUAAAAAACUGAAAAUUUAUUGUGAAAUUGACAAAAUGAGAUUAGGGGGAUAGGGCACUAAAAGAAAAAUUUGGACCAUUUUAAAGAGAUUGUGACGGGCAACGACUAUAAAGGUGUUGUAGAGGAGACAUUGGCGCAUCGUUUAAGAAAAUCUCCAGAGUGGUUUAUGUUCGAAAAUCUGAAGUUACGGUUAAAAAACUGAAAAUUUUAUUGUGAAAUUGACAAAAUGAGAUUAGGGGGAUAGGGCACUAAAAGAAAAAUUUGGACCAUUUUAAAGAGAUUCUGACGGGCAACGACUAUAUAGGUGUUGUAGAGGAGACAUUGGCGCAUCGUUUAAGAAAAUCUCCAGAGUGGUUUAUGCUCAAAAAUCUGAAGUUACGGUUAAAAAACUGAAAAUUUUAUUGUGAAAUUGAUAAAAUGAGAUUAGGGGGGUAGGGCACUAAAAGAAAAAUUUGGACCAUUUUAAAGAGAUUGUGACGGGCAACGACUAUAUAGGUGUUGUAGAAGAGACAUUGGCGCAUCGUUUAAGAAAAUCUCCAGAGUGGUUUAUGUUCGAAAAUCUGAAGUUACGGUUAAAAAACUGAAAAUUUUAUUGUGAAAUUGACAAAAUGAGAUUAGGGGGAUAGGGCACUAAAAGAAAAAUUUGGACCAUUUUAAAGAGAUUGUGACGGGCAAUGACUAUAUAGGUGUUGUAGAGGAGACAUUGGCGCAUCGUUUAAGAAAAUCUCCAGAGUGGUUUAUGUUCGAAAAUCUGAAGUUACGGUUAAAAAACUGAAAAUUUAUUGUGAAAUUGACAAAAUGAGAUUAGGGGGAUAGGGCACUAAAAGAAAAAUUUGGACCAUUUUAAAGAGAUUGUGACGGGCAACGACUAUAUAGGUGUUGUAGAGGAGACAAUGGCGCAUCGUUUAAGAAAAUCUCCAGAGUGGUUUAUGUUCGAAAAUCUGAAGUUACGGUUAAAAAACUGAAAAUUUAUUGUGAAAUUGACAAAAUGAGAUUAGGGGGAUAGGGCACUAAAAGAAAAAUUUGGACCAUUUUAAAGAGAUUGUGACGGGCAACGACUAUAUAGGUGUUGUAGAGGAGACAAUGGCGCAUCGUUUAAGAAAAUCUACUGAGUGGUUUAUGUUCGAAAAUCUGAAGUUACGGUUAAAAAACUGAAAUUGUGAAAUUGACAAAAUGAGAUUAGGGGGGUAGGGCACUAAAAGAAAAAUUUGGACUAUUUUAAAGAGAUUGUGACGGGCAACGACUAUAUAGGUGUUGUAGAGGAGACAUUGGCGCAUCGUUUAAGAAAAUCUCCAGAGUGGUUUAUGUUCGAAAAUCUGAAGUUACGGUUAAAAAACUGAAAAUUUUAUUGUGAAAUUGACAAAAUGAGAUUAGGGGGAUAGGGCACUAAAAGAAACAUUUGGACCAUUUUAAAGAGAUUGUGACGGGCAACAACUAUAUAGGUGUUGUAGAGGAGACAUUGGCGCAUCGUUUAAGAAAAUCUCCAGAGUGGUUUAUGUUCGAAAAUCUGAAGUUACGGUUAAAAAACUGAAAAUUUUAUUGUGAAAUUGACAAAAUGAGAUUAGGGGGAUAGGGCACUAAAAGAAAAAUUUGGACCAUUUUAAAGAGAUUGUGACGGGCAACGACUAUAUAGGUGUUGUAGAGGAGACAUUGGCGCAUCGUUUAUGAAAAUCUCCAGGGUGGUUUAUGUUCGAAAAUCUGAAGUUACGGUUAAAAAACUGAAAUUGUGAAAUUGACAAAAUGAGAUUAGGGGGGUAGGCCUAUUUAAGUUAACUUUGGACCAAUUUCAAGAGAUUGUGACGGGCAACGACUAUAUAGGUGUUGUAGAGGAGACAAUGGCGCAUCGUUUAAGAAAAUCUCCAGAGUGGUUUAUGUUCGAAAAUCUGAAGUUACGGUUAAAAAACUGAAAAUUUAUUGUGAAAUUGACAAAAUGAGAUUAGGGGGAUAGGGCACUAAAAGAAAAAUUUGGACCAUUUUAAAGAGAUUGUGACGGGCAACGACUAUAUAGGUGUUGUAGAGGAGACAAUGGCGCAUCGUUUAAGAAAAUCUACUGAGUGGUUUAUGUUCGAAAAUCUGAAGUUACGGUUAAAAAACUGAAAUUGUGAAAUUGACAAAAUGAGAUUAGGGGGGUAGGGCACUAAAAGAAAAAUUUGGACUAUUUUAAAGAGAUUGUGACGGGCAACGACUAUAUAGGUGUUGUAGAGGAGACAUUGGCGCAUCGUUUAAGAAAAUCUCCAGAGUGGUUUAUGUUCGAAAAUCUGAAGUUACGGUUAAAAAACUGAAAAUUUUAUUGUGAAAUUGACAAAAUGAGAUUAGGGGGAUAGGGCACUAAAAGAAAAAUUUGGACCAUUUUAAAGAGAUUGUGACGGGCAACGACUAUAUUGGUGUUGUAGAGGAGACAUUGGCGCAUCGUUUAUGAAAAUCUCCAGGGUGGUUUAUGUUUG